ACGGGUGAGUAAUGCCUAGGAAUCUGCCUGGUAGUGGGGGAUAACGUUCGGAAACGGACGCUAAUACCGCAUACGUCCUACGGGAGAAAGCAGGGGACCUUAUGGCCUUGCGCUAUCAGAUGAGCCUAGGUCGGAUUAGCUAGUUGGUGAGGUAAUGGCUCACCAAGGCGACGAUCCGUAACUGGUCUGAGAGGAUGAUCAGUCACACUGGAACUGAGACACGGUCCAGACUCCUACGGGAGGCAGCAGUGGGGAAUAUUGGACAAUGGGCGAAAGCCUGAUCCAGCCAUGCCGCGUGUGUGAAGAAGGUCUUCGGAUUGUAAAGCACUUUAAGUUGGGAGGAAGGGCAGUUACCUAAUACGUGAUUGUUUUGACGUUACCGACAGAAUAAGCACCGGCUAACUCUGUGCCAGCAGCCGCGGUAAUACAGAGGGUGCAAGCGUUAAUCGGAAUUACUGGGCGUAAAGCGCGCGUAGGUGGUUUGUUAAGUUGGAUGUGAAAUCCCCGGGCUCAACCUGGGAACUGCAUUCAAAACUGACUGACUAGAGUAUGGUAGAGGGUGGUGGAAUUUCCUGUGUAGCGGUGA
rnacentral:rRNA from 1 species